GCCCGCAUGGCUCAGGGGCAGAGCGUAUCACUAGUAGAGAUUUACACAUCUUCAAUGAUAAGGUCCUCAGUUCAAACCUGAAUGUGGGCA